ensembl:lincRNA
CUUCCUGGGCUCCGUUGCCUUCUGUGGUUGCUGGUUGUUCUCUGUCCCCUGCACUCCUUAUCUUCCUUGGGGUUAAGUUUUGCUUUCUCCAACUGCGCUGCUUCACUCCUUGGAUGCACUUGCCCUAAAGGUUGACCGAUAGCUGCUGAUGCAAGCGCCAGAGAUCUUGUCCUGAGGUGAUGUGCUCGGAGGCUGCAGAGAAUCCGUCUGUCUGUCUAGGUCCGUCUUUAAGAUUAAGGAAACUUUCCCCAGAAGUGUUCCCAGAACCUGCUUCUGGGUCUCAUCGGCCAAAGUUCAGCCACACACUCAUUCCUGUAACUCCUAGUCGGGGUAACGUAGGUUCUUUGCCUAGCAGCACAGUGCAGAUGGUGAGUGAAUCUGACUGCUUCUGCCUUCAGAAUGCAUCCACAGCCCUCGAGGGUCACCAUCGCCAUGUGGUCAGGCCUGCAUCCCAUCUCAGCUGGAUCUGACAGUGGCUCGGAACCAUCCCCGCCUUGCUCAGCUUCCCCUCAUCCUCAGUAGCCAGAGAUCUUGCUCAAUUGUACUCCAGACCAUGCCAUGCUUAGCUCAGAUAGAGACCCUCAUCUCCUCCAGGAAAAAAAAGCCAGCACAUGGCUGUUCAUGAAACCCUACCUAACCAACCCCCAUUGCUCCUCUGACCUCCCCAUCCUACUCCUUGGUUCGUUGUCCAGCUUGCCCCUUGAACCUUCUUGUUUCUUGGGUGUUCCAGGUGAGAGACCGUGAUGAACACCUGUACCAGCUGUCCCCUUUGCCUGGACAAUUCACCCAGACAUCUACAAGUGGGGCUCCUUUGUCCUGUCAUUUGUCCUUGAGCAGGGACUUCUCUGAACCUCCUGCCUAGCAACCUUUCACGUUCCAUUUCUGGUUCACUCCAUAGUACCUACUUGCCGUCUAUCUUCAGACAGUGUCUCCUGUCCUCUGGUUCUCGGCUAUGUGCAUUGUGUAAAUACUGGAGAGCUAUCGCCACUGGCUAUAAGUGUGAGUUGAAUGUAGACGUGAACUUGGGACAUUUGCUGAGCCUGCUGCACCCUGUUUGUGCUGUUGCAGAAGGCUCCAACGUAAAACUAAUUUCUUUCUUUCUUCCUCCCCCCUGUCCCCCCAUAUUUUAGACAAGAUCUUACCCCAUAGGUCUGGUUGGCCUAGAACUCCCUAUGUAGAUAACCUGGCCUUGAACUCACAGAGAUCCUCAUGCCUUCGCUUCCCGAGUGCUAGGACUAGAGGUGUGUGCUACCAUGUCUGGCUUCCAGUGUGAACUACUGUGUUUCCCUUGUGAAGCAUACGACACAAAGUCACUCAACCUCAGGAGACACUAGGCAGUGCAUACGGUGGAAGGCAAAAAGCAUCACUUUAUUAUUAGCUCUCUUGUGCUUAUUUAUUUCUGAGACAGGAUUUCUCUGUGUAGCUCUGGCUGUCCUGGAACUCACUCUGUAGACCAGGCUAGCCUCAAACUCCUGAGUGCUAGGAUUAAAGACAUGCGCCACCGGGCUCUGUUUGUUUGUUUGUUUUUUUUCCUUUGUUUUGUUUUUUAAUAUAUGAAAUAAGGGAAAUAAUAGUAACCAUUCCAUGAGUUUUUGUUAGAAUUAAGUGAACUAAUUCAUGCAAAUAAUUGUGAAGCAUCUGGCAUGUAUUAAUCAUUAAAUAAUUGGAAGCUGGUUUAAUCUCCCUUUGUAGUAGAGGGAUCUAAAGCUCGGAGAAUUUAGGAUUCUAACCACAGGUUACAUAGCGAGAGGCAGGGUGAAGGUUGAACUCAGGACUCAUGAUUUACACAGCUGGUUCUGCUAAGUCAAACUCAUACAGUGACCUAAACAAGGCCGUGGGACUCUUCCCUCAGGCGAGAGAGCAGUGCAGCCUCUUGCUGUCUGUUUUGUCUGAAUCCUCCCCACAUUCCAGUCGACUCAUCUGAUGAUCUCGGAACAUCACCAGGCCUGAGAGACUCACUGCCUCCUGUUUCCGCGUCUGGAGUGGAGUGUACGAAUAAUCAUACCGUUUGUCACGACGUAGGACAAGGUGACAGAGCUGAGGUGUAGUGUGGAACAGUUCCUGUAAGUCCGUGGCUCACAAGGCUGAGGCAGGAGGAUUGAGAGUUUAAGACCAGCUUAUGCCACACACAGAGACCUUCUCUCUCAAAAAAAUAACAUAAUCCGGGCAUAGUGGCAUGCACCUUUAAUCCCAGCAUUUUCAGGAGGCAGAGGCAGGUGGAUCUCUGUGAAUGAGUGGCCAGUCUGGUUUAGAUAAAGAAUUCCAGGCCGGGCAGGGGUACAAAACUGACAUUUAAGAACACAAUCUCAGAUGCUCACUAAGUGUCUACCCUCUUCACUUCCUUUACUAACAUAGUUCAUCACCCCUCCCAGUGUCCCCAGUGGCCAGGCACCCUGUGGCUUCUGAUCCUGCUGACCUCUCUGGUCCCCUGAUAGGCUCUGGAGCUAUCCCCAUGAUGCCUAUCCUUGCUGCUAGGCAGCCUUGACUUGAAUGUGGCCCUUGUCCUACUCUGUAAUGGGACCCUAGAGGAAGGUUGGCUUUGGUAUGGGGGUGGGGGAGGGUUAGGGGCUACAUGUCUGCUGGUCUUUACAGGAACUGUGAGCAUACUAUGGAACAGGGCUCAAAAACAAGGAACAUGGCUCAGUUACCACUCUGAACUUGGUUACUGCCCAGCUGCCAGGUUACCAUCCCUGUCCUGAAUCAUCACCAGUGUGGUUCCAGAAGGCAAGCCUCAUCUGCAGGGUACUGGAGGGCUAAUAGAAGGCGGAGCAGGCUAGGACUCUAUGGUUUGAAGCUUGCACUUGCUCUCUGUAAUCCUCAACCAGUGAGAAUAAAGAUUACCACCAU